GACGAACGCUGGCGGCGUGCUUAACACAUGCAAGUCGAACGGUGAAGCGCCUUCCUUUUUGGUGGGUGUGGAUGAGUGGCGAACGGGUGCGUAACACGUGAGUAACCUGCCCCCUUCUUCUGGAUAACCGCAUGAAAGUGUGGCUCAUACGGGAUAUUCUGGGUCUGUCGCAUGAUGGGUCUGGGAAAGAUAUUGUUUCGGUGGGGGAUGGGCUCGCGGCCUAUCAGCUUGUUGGUGGGGUGAUGGCCUACCAAGGCGGUGACGGGUAGCCGGCCUGAGAGGGUGGACGGUCACACUGGGACUGAGACACGGCCCGGACUCCUACGCGAGGCAGCAGUGGGGAAUAUUGCACAGUGGGCGCAAGCCUGAUGCAGCGACGCCGCGUGAGGGAUGGAGGCCUGCGGGUUGUGAACCUCUUUCGCCAGUGAAGCAGGCCUGCCUCGUUUGUGGGUGGGUUGACGGUAGCUGGAUAAGAAGCGCCGGCUAACUACGUG
rnacentral:rRNA from 1 species